AUUUUAUUCCCCUUCUCCCCCGAAAAACUGCAUACUUUCCUCACAAUUUGCCUACGAGGGCUUCAAGAUCUUUACUCUAAAACAGUUCUGUUGAAUUUCACCAUAGCUGAUCUUCACAAGUGUGGGACAAAGGAUACACAGAACUCAAAGUCAUCCCUCUGUUCACCUGAGCUACCUCCUUCUCACAUGUAAAUUGUGUAUUUAGUAAAAGGCUGAUCAAAACCCCAAAAGAAUGCAAUCUUUUGUCUCUUAUUUACCUAUGACCUGGAAGCCCCCACUUUGAGUUAUCCUGCCUUUCCAGACCCAACCAAUGUACAUCUUACAUAUGUUGAUUGAUGUCUUAUAUCUCCCUAAAAUGUAUAAAACCAAGCUGUGCCUUAACCACUUUGGGCACAUGUCCUCCGGACCUUCUGAGGGUGGGUCAUGUGUGUCCUUAACCUUAGCAAAAUAAAAACUUUUUAAAUUAAUUGAGACCUUUCUCAGAUACUUUUGGGUUCAUGAUGCUUACUUUUUUAUUGGUAGCUACUAUGGACCAGGCAUGAUGCUGGUGCUGGGGAAACACUGCCAAAGUUCCUGCUUUCAAGUUGUCUGCAGUCCAACAGAGAAAGGUUCCCAAAGGCCUCACAACCUGCACUGUCUCCUCAGCCCUGGCUGGAACAUGUUG
rnacentral:lncRNA from 1 species